UUUAGUGAGGGCCUACUCUGUGCUGAUUUGGGGAACAGUUCGGUGGAGGGAGCCCUAAGAUGGACUUCAAGAGCGAGCCUCCAGUAGGAGGCCGCUCGGCCUCCCUAUACUACCACCGGUCCGUGACAAACGGGCCCUCCCCCCUUCCUCCUGGGGUCUCCACCCCUCGGUGCCAGGGCAGACACCCUUCCCUUAGCCCGAGGCUGAGGCCACCGUGAAAUAGCAGCCCUCAAGCACGGAGCAGCAUCUAGGGAAGAAUCACCUAGUAAAUUUGGACUGCUUGGGAGGAGGACCUAUUCCUCACGCCCACCGACUUUUUUCAAAAGUCCAAAUGAGGAAGGAAAUCGGCGUAUUUUAAGCACAUAUUUCGAGUUCUGAGGAGCAUGGAAGAAUGCAGCCCCUUUUAAUACACAGUGGAAAGCAUAAAGAUGUAAGAAAUCAUCAGGUGCUGUGGGAGCCUGGAGGACUGUCCUUUGAUCCAGCUUCAGAGAGGGGCAGGGGUUUCCUGGAAGAUAUAAAUAUCCAGAUAUCUCAUAAAGUGGAAUCAUCCAGGGGAGCCUGGCUCUCUCAGUGGGUAGAGCAUGUGACUCUUGAUCUCUGGAUUGUAUGUUCAAGCCCCACACUGGGUGUAGAGAUUACUUAAAAAUAAAGUCUUUCUUUUUAAUUAAAAAAAUGUUUGUUAGUUUGUUUGUUUAUAGCACAAGUAGGGGAGAGGCAGAGACAGAGGGAAAGACAGAAUCCCAAGCAGGCUCCGCAGUGUCAGCACAGAGCCUGAUGUGGGGCUUGACCCCAUGAACUGCAAGAUCAUGACCGGAGUCUAAAUCAAGAGCCAGACUCUCAACCUACUGAGCCACCCAGGCUGACCCGUUCAAAAUAAAAUCUUAGGGGCACCUGCAGGGUUCAGUGGUUGACCACUGGACUUCAGCUCAGGUCAUGAUCUCAGGGUUCAUGGGUUUGAGCCCUGCAUCAGGCUUCCUGCUGUCAGCACCGAGCUGCCUUGGGAUCCUUGGUCCCCCUCUCUCUCUGCCCCUCCCCCACUUGGGUGUACUCGCGUGCUCUCUC